AGGUUCUUCAAGAUUAGGACAAGUAGACGAGAGAGAGGAAGCU
rnacentral:sRNA from 1 species